rnacentral:lncRNA from 1 species
UGAUGUUCUUGAAGAAAUACAUGCUGAGGAUGAACGUACUACAGAUAUGAAUGAAGAGAGAAACACAUUCUAUGACUGCGAAGCUGACGUCUGUUUAGACGACAUGGAUGUCUCUGGUACAGAUCCGCGAGGAGAUAGAGACCAAGGGGGUUCCUCAUCUUCAAACAAGAGAAAGAAGAAAUCUGAUGCUCGUGAUAAUGUGUAUGCUUCAUUUGAGGAGGCUGCCACCUUGUUGGGGGAAAAAAUCCAGGCCGUUGGCGAUAGAAUCAGUAUGAGUAUUUCCUCCGAGGUGGUAGUUCAGCAGAAGUCUGAAGAAAAGAUGGAAGAGAAAGCUUCAAAUUUAUAUUCAGCCUUAUGGUCAAUUGAAGGUUUAAGCGACGAUCAGCGGUAUGAUGCUUUGACUAAAAUUCCCGAUCAUCCAACUCAAAUGAUCGUUUUCUUCAGUUUACCUUCUGUUGCCCGAUUGGAAUGGGUCAGAAGAUUUCUUUCUCACCAUUAAAUAUCAAUGUUCAAACUUUUUGAUGUUGUAAAACUUUUGAACAUAUGGAUUAUGAUGUACAAUUUCAUUUUCAUCUAACUUUUUGUUAGUAUAAAUUAAUUAUGUUUAUGCAGAAUAUAAUUUUCAAGUUAUAUAUUUAAUAAUAAUUAUGUUAAUUAAUAUUUUACAGUAUCAUAUAUUAUGAUUUGAGUAAAUUAAUAUAUUUAAUAAUAAUUAUUAAGAAUUUUAUUAAAUUAUAUAGUUUAAUUAAAAUAUAUUUAAUAAUAAUUAUGUUAAUUUAUAUUUUACAGUAUCAUAUAUUAUGAUUUGAGUAAAUUAAUAUAAGAAUAUUAAUUAUUAAGAAUUUUAUUAAAUCAAAUAUUUUAAUUAAAAUAUAUUUAAUAAUAAUUAUGUUAAUUUAUAUUUUACAGUAUCAUAUAUUAUGAUUUGAGUAAAUUAAUAUAAGAAUAUUAAUUAUUAAGAAUUUUAUUAAAUCAAAUAUUUUAAUUAAAAUAUAUUUAAUAAUAAUUAUGUUAAUUUAUAUUUUACAGUAUCAUAUAUUAUGAUUUGAGUAAAUUAAUAUAAGAAUAUUAAUUAUUAAGAAUUUUAUUAAAUUAUAUAGUUUAAUUAAAAUAUAUUUAAUAAUAAUUAUGUUAAUUUAUAUUUUACAGUAUCAUAUAUUAUGAUUUGAGUAAAUUAAUAUAAGAAUAUUAAUUAUUAAGAACAUAUUGAUUAUGACGUACAAUUUCAUUUUCAUCUAACUUUUUGUUAGUAUAAUUAAUUAUGUUUAUGCAGAAUAUAAUUUUCAAGUUAUAUAUUUAAUAAUUAUGUUAAUUUAUAUUUUACAGUAUCAUAUAUUAUGAUUUGAGUAAAUUAAUAUAUUAAUAAUUAUUAAGAAUUUUAUUAAAUUAUAUAGUUUAAUUAAAUAUAUUUAAUAAUAAUUAUGUUAAUUUAUAUUUUGCAAUAUCAUAUAUUAUGAUUUGAGUAAAUUAAUAUAAGAAUAUUAAUUAUUAAUAAUUUUAUUAAAUCAAAUAUUUUAAUUAAAAUAUAUUUAAUUAUGAUUAAAUUAUUUAUUAUUGAUAAUAAUAAUCUUAUUAUAAUUUAAAUAACAAUAACAAUAAUCAUUUACCAAAACAAAUUUAUACUAAGGGUAUUCUAGUCAUUUUAGUUUUUUCCAUUAUGCUAUUACACCUCUAUUCCAUUCAACCAAACACAAGAUUACUAUUACGCCUCUAUUCCAUUACAUUCAACCAAACAGUUGAUUUGCUAUUACACCUCUAAUCUAAUACAGCGAACCAAACGCACCCUAAAUAGAGUAGAGUCGAGUCCCACAAAAAUCGAAUAAAAAUAAAUAAAUUCUACUGUGACUAAAAAUUAAUUGUGACACAACUAUAUAGGCGGUUUAAUUAUUAUUAAAACAAUAAAAUAAAUAUAAACAAGAGAAAUCAAAUGAAAAUUAGCAUAAAUUCAAAAUAAGAAAGAGCUAAUAUCAUGAAAACUUGAGGCUUACGUGUGAUGCCAGCCUCGGCGGUGGGAUUGAUAAUAUAUUAUAAAAUGUCUUCUAUUAAAUGAUAAUUUAGUUAUAGUUAGAUUUAGUCAUGAGUUGAGUUAUUAGUCCAGAUUUGAAGGUCUACUCAAACAGUGAAAGAUUUUAGGUAAAAAUAUAGGCUUAAAAAAUAGGUUUAGACAAAAAAAAAGACUCGUUUUCUAAAUAGGGCAGGUUUUGAGUAGAAUUUUUUGGCUCGAGUCUUGCCCGACUCAAAUAAGCUAUUUUUUUGUUAUUUUGUUGUUGUUUCAUUGUUGUUUUGCUAUCAUUUUACUAUUAUAUUACUAUUAUUUUGUUGUUAUUAUUUGAAUAUGAUAUAUCUUUUGUUUUAUUGUUAAUUUUGUUAUUAUUUUAGAGACAAUUGUUUGUUAAGUUAUAAUUAUUUUAAUAUUAUUUAAAUAUAAAUAUUUUAAAUAUAUUUUAAAUUUGUUAAAAAAUAUUUAUUUUAAUUUUUAAUGAAUUUAAUAUAUUAUACUUUUUAAAUUUAUUUUUAUAAAAGAAUAGUUUAAAAAUUUUAAUAGGGAGUAGUGGGAUCAGAUUCGGGUUUAAGUAUAUAUUAUAGAUGUGUAAAUUUAUCAAAAUUGAAUUGUUAUUAUAUCUGUGAAGACGUAGCCAGUUAGGUUUGGAACAGGAUUGUUUUUACUUUGUUUUGGGGGGGUUAUAGUCAAAGAUGAUUGUUAUUUAUGUUGGCUGAGGUGGUUGAAUUGUUCUGGUCGCAUCAAGGCUUGUCAAAACCUCAAUAUGACUUCAUAUCUAUCUCUUCACAUUAAAUUAUUAUAAAAAGAAGAAUAGCCACUUGUUUAAGAGUCUUUUAAUUAUUUGGUUGGGAUUAAAGUACAAGUUAAUAUAAAUUUACUUUUUAAUUAUUAUAUUAGUUUUAAAUUUUCACAUUAAAUCAUUCAAAACUUUUGUUUGGUUAACGAUGUAUUUGUAAAGGUCUAAAAUCUCGCUUAAAAAGUAAGAGAAUUUGGGUAAAAAUAUAAGUUAGAAAAUGAAUUUGGAUAAAAAAUAAUACAUGUUUUUAGACGGGUUGGACCUCGAAUAAGAUUGUUUUGUCCGAGUCCGGUCCGAAUCAGCCUAAAUUUUUUUCUGCUACUGUUUUGCUGUCAUUUCAUUAUUGUUUUGCUAUUAUUUAUUGUUAUUGUUUGAAUAUUGUAUAACUUUUAUUUUAUUGUUAAUUUUACUACUAUUUUAGAGGCAUUUGUCUUAGUAUUAUUUAAGUCUAAAACUUUUUUUAACAUAGUUUUAAUUUGUUAGGAAACAUUUAUUUUAAUAUUUUUAGUGUAUUUGAUAUAUUAUAUUUUUUAAAUUUAUUUUUAUAUAAAAAUAAUAUAAUGAAAUUAAUAUAGGUAGGUCGGAUUGAAUUCGAGUUCAACAUUUUUAAUCUAGAUCGUAGUUUGGACAAAUUUUAAGCCUAUUUUUCAAUUCGAACUAAACCCAAACCUAAAAUACAAGUCUAAAAUUUUAGAUCGAUCUAUCCAGCCCAAAAUCAUUUGUAAUUAACAGUGACUGGAAAAAAAUUUCAUGGAACCAAUGGAAAAGUUAGUAGAAGGGAGAAGCAGACGCAUAAAUGAAUGGUAGGGAUUCCAUAACCAUUUACAACCACAAGCUAUUUAAGUAACCAAUCUCUGCCACUUCUCCAAAUGAAAGGAACAAUGUUUAUAUGAGAAUAUAUUAUAUUAAUCUUUGUUAUUUUACAAUCUAAAUAAACAAAAAGUCAAAAACUUAAUAAAGAAAAGUAGGGAAAUAAUUUAAGUAAUAGACGUUACCUUUGUGUUGACAAUGGAAAGAAGGCUUAAGGUAGUCAUAUCUGCCUCUAGAGAUAAGCCUUUCCCAUCCACUCGAUGAAAUGUGAGAGAACUUAAGAAGGUAGUUAUUAAAUAAAAAGUUUUGAUAUUAUGUUCCUCCGAAGGUAAUGUAACAUCAAAAGCUUACAUUCCUAUCAAAUAAAUUUAUAUGUCGAAAAUUUAAAGAUAGAACACUUAUGGAGGAAUACCAUUCACAUCGAUUUGGAGGCAAUCACAGAACAAAGUAUAACCUGCAACUUUAUUUAUUUGAAUAAACUUGCAGCUUUAAUCUAAAUGCUCACAAGGUGGGGUUUUGAUAGUAGUAUAUGGAAGGAAGCAGGGAACUGAAAGAAAAAGACUUUGGAAGCAUCUUUUGAGGUUCGGCAAAAGGUGACAAAUUCAGUAUGAUUGUGAUUUGGAGGAGAGUUUUUAUUUAAAUGAGG